rnacentral:rRNA from 1 species
UAGUCCACGCCGUAAACGAUGGUUACUAGCUGUCUGGACUUCGGUCUGGGUGGCCAAGCGAAAGUGAUAAGUAACCCACCUGGGGAGUACGGUCGCAAGACUGAAACUCAAAGGAAUUGACGGGGGCCCGCACAAGCGGUGGAGCAUGUGGUUUAAUUCGAUGAUACGCGAGGAACCUUACCAGGGCUUAAAUGUAGUCUGACAGCUUUAGAGAUAGAGUUUUCUUCGGACAGAUUACAAGGUGCUGCAUGGUUGUCGUCAGCUCGUGCCGUGAGGUGUCAGGUUAAGUCCUAUAACGAGCGCAACCCUACCGUUAGUUGCCAGCAUGUCAUGAUGGGGACUCUAACGGGACUGCCGGUGCAAACCGCGAGGAAGGUGGGACGACGUCAAAUCAUCACGGCCCUUACGUCCUGGGCUACACACGUGCUACAAUGGCCGGUACAGAGAGCAGCCACUGCGCGAGCAGGAGCGAAUCUAUAAAGCCGGUCACAGUUCGGAUCGUAGU